UUUCCGUAGGUGAACCUGCGGAAGGAUCAUUAUCGUAUAACCGAGGUGCGAGGGCUGUCGCUGACCUUUUCGGCCGUGCACGCCCGAGCGCUCUCACACAAUCCAUCCCACCCCUUGUGCACCACCGCGCGGGUCUCUUUCUGGCUCGUAGGGAGGGGGGCUCGCGUUUUCACACAAACUUUGAGUAGUGUAGAAUGUCCUUUUUUUGCGUUAUCACGCAAUCAAUACAACUUUCAACAACGGAUCUCUUGGCUCCC
rnacentral:misc_RNA from 1 species